rnacentral:rRNA from 1 species
GUCGGAAAGACCCUAUGCACCUUUACUGCAACCUGACAUUGGCUUCGGGUAUCUCAUGUGUAGGAUAGGUGGGAGGCUGUGAAGCGGCUACGCUAGUAGUCGUGGAGCCAACGGUGAAAUACCACCCUUGAUGUACUUGGAGUCUAACCAACGCGAGUGGAUCGCGGGGGACAGUGUCAGGCGGGUAGUUUGACUGGGGCGGUCGCCUCCCAAAAAGUAACGGAGGCUCCCAAAAGGUUCUCUCAGCACGGUCGGUAAUCGUGCGUCGAGUGCAAACGCAUAAGAGAGCUUAACUGCGAGACUGACGGGUCGAGCAGAUGCGAAAGCAGGGGUUAGUGAUCCGACGGUUCCGAGUGGAAGGGCCGUCGCUCAAAGGAUAAAAGGUACGCUAGGAUAACAGGCUGAUCUUCCCCAAGAGUUCACAUCGACGGGAAGGUUUGGCACCUCGAUGUCGGCUCAUCGCAUCCUGGGGCUGGAGAAGGUCCCAAGGGUUUGGCUGUUCGCCAAUUAAAGCGGUACGUGAGCUGGGUUCAGAACG